AUCAAACUUGGUUUAGGCAUGAGCCCUUAGCUCUGACCAAAAGGGAGCCUAGGUUCAGUCCUGGGUGUGAUCC
rnacentral:tRNA from 1 species